CACGAAGGGGGCUAGCGUUGUUCGGAAUUACUGGGCGUAAAGCGCGCGCAGGCGGUUCUUCAAGUCAGAGGUGAAAGCCCAGAGCUCAACUCUGGAAUGGCCUUUGAGACUAGAGAACUUGGGUACGGGAGAGGUGAGUGGAAUUCCGAGUGUAGAGGUGAAAUUCGUGGAUAUUCGGAAGAACACCAGUGGCGAAGGCGGCUCACUGGCCCGUUACCGACGCUCAGGCGCGACAGCGUGGGGAGCAAACAGG
rnacentral:rRNA from 1 species